GCUCCAGUGACCACUUCAAAAGGUUGCUAUAAAAGAUCAUAGUUUUACUGGUGACUAGUAAAGUCGCCACUAAGUGUGUCCUUUUUAGUGGAGACAAUUAACAAGUCGACCCCAAUAUAAAUUAAUCUUCUAAUAAAAUAUAAUUGAAAAAAAAAGAUAUUUAUUACGAUCAUAUCAGUUAAGAGUCGCUACAAAAGUCCCUUUUGCAGCAACCUUAUCG
rnacentral:misc_RNA from 1 species